CAAUGCUUACUUAGACGAAGGGGCCCAGUUACUCGAUGAAAAACUAAUAUUUAGAUUUUUUUUUAACAUUGUACUGCUAUUGAGUGUCUUAAUCCUUUAAACUUUCUGUUUGACCCAUAUAGCGAGUUUUUAGCUAGUGACUCUCGAACCAGAUGGCUUUAGGACCAAAAAUUGAUACGAUCACGAUGUUAUCAUUAGAACACUAUGAUUAUUAAUCUAAUUUCAACUUUAGUAAAAAUUAAAAAUAUGUAAAAAUUAGCGAGUCAGGUCGAAUCCACAG
rnacentral:lncRNA from 1 species